rnacentral:rRNA from 1 species
CUAANAAGCAUUANANGAAACUGCGAAUGGCUCAUUAUAUAANUUAUCGUUUAUUUGAUAGUACCUUACUACAUGGAUAACCGUGGUAAUUCUAGAGCUAAUACAUGCUGAAAAUCCCGACUUCGGAAGGGAUGUAUUUAUUANAUUCAAAACCAAUGCCCUUCGGGGCUCCAAUGGUGAUUCAUGAUAACUUCUCAAAUCGCACGGCCCCGCGCCGGCGAUGGUUCAUUCAAAUUUCUUCCCUAUCAACUUUCNAUGCUACGGUAGUGUCCUAGCAUGGUUGCAACGGGUAACGGG